UACGGAGGGGGCUAGCGUUGUUCGGAAUUACUGGGCGUAAAGGGCGUGUAGGCGGGCAGGUAAGUCGGGCGUGAAAUCCCUGAGCUCAACUCAGGAACUGCACUCGAAACUACUUGUCUUGAGUACCGGAGAGGAAAGCGGAAUACCUGGUGUAGAGGUGAAAUUCGUAGAUAUCAGGUGGAACACCAGUGGCGAAGGCGGCUUUCUGGACGGUAACUGACGCUGAGACGCGAAAGCGUGGGGAGCAAACAGG
rnacentral:rRNA from 1 species